UCAAAUAUUUGUAGUUCAUACUUUACCUUGAGCACGGUACUCCCUGGAGGCGGCACAGUGAGAACUGAGACUCCAUGGCUCACACCUCCCGUCCGCCAGCAGCGCGCAGACCAACAGUCCUUACCUUCUAAAUAUGAAUCAAUUGUUCAGACAAGACUAGUUGAAGUCUGAGGUGCUCGGAGCAGCUAAUCCCGAGCUGUGAUGUCACACUGAAGGGCACGUUCGUCCCUCUGGAAAAGAAGUAAUCGACCUUGACCCCAGGGGACUACAGACCGCGUGAGACGGCUUCACAAUCCUGAGACUCUGAAUCCAGCUGUGCUCCCGAGACUAAUUAUGACCUUUUCUUUCAUUACAAUUAUCAAAAUGAGGCGAGAACCUAAUCAUAUUACAACCAGAUAUCGUGUGUGUGUGUGUGUGUGUUCCAUGACUAACUGAAAAGCUCGGUCUAACGCUCCUGUGCCGUGCGUGUGGAUUAACUGUAUGAACAAGCGAGGCCACUGGUGUGCGACUUGUUGUCACUGUGGCAGCACCAGUGAUCAUGACAAUCAACUUAAUGAUGAUGAGUUAUGAGAAUACAGUCUGUUGGUGUGGUGCAGCUAUGAGGCCAUCACGCGUAUUGAUUGAUUUUCUCUGCUCCUGUUUUGUAAGAUUGUAAAACCGGCACAGAUUUCCAUACGUUCCCUUUUCUCAUUCCUCCGCUGACCUUCGGGGUUCUCUUAGCAUUUCUAAAGGUGCGUUCACCCACAACGUGGAGCGAAUCUUGAUUAUAUCUGUUUGAAAUCAACUUGUGGACCAAACUCAUGUUAGCUCUAAACUAGCAGGGAUGUGCACAUAUUUUAUAUUUAAUCUGUGUUCACCGUGUGCACAAGUGCGAGCGCUAAAAUUCUCUUCACACACACGACGUCUUUGGCUUUGGUUUUGUGUGUGCGAGAAGAAAUGGUUAUUUUUUGCCAUCUCACGCAAUUUAGAGGUGGAACGCAAUGUUAUAUGUUCUGUGCUGCCACAAAAUGUAUCUAGGCUUAGAUUUAUACUGUAUAUCUCUGUAUGUUUCCCUUCAUUUUUCAAUAGAUUAUCAUGUUAAACCAUCAAAUAAAGGAUAUACAUUGUACCUGUGGAUUUGACAAGCUGCAAACGCUGCACGACUACAAGGCAGACGAAUGCAAUUCAUUGCAGUUUAGAACUUGGGAUAAAUACAUUUGAAGACUUGGACGAGAUGUCAAGCCCCAGUGUGAUGAGGUCAUUCUCUGGCGGCAUCUGGUGGUGAAGUUGCAAACUGCAGCCAACUGAGCACAACUUUCAUAAAUGAGGGUUGUGUGAGUAUGUAUCCCAUCUUCACCACUCAGGUGAAGAAAUGGUGAAUCCAACAACUCGUUACAGACUAAGGAUAAAGUAGAGUCAGUGUCACAACUAAUAUUCAUCUUUAUCUUCAUUUGUUUUGCAGUUUUUUGACUCUUCCUCCUGAUCAUCAAAUCAACCUUUAACGGGACAAAUCGGGGGAAUCCGCCUUUAAUUAAUUAGCAGCUGGUGGUACCUGAUUACAGUGGCAGCACCUGGGCCGACUCGGGCAGCCAAUCAGCGUCCGCCCUGCGCACUGAUAUAGUUUGGGCAGCUCGCGGCGCGAGCGCAUAGGAAACGAACCGAGACACGAGAAGACACGAGUCGAGACGAGUCCAGACGAGUAGACACGAAGAUACGAGAAGACACGAGUCGUCACGAGUCCGGUUCACGGUUCAACACGUUGAACGUUGUGAACCUCGUUACUGCACAAGUUGUCAAGUUACAACGAACUGUGGAGACGAUUUGUGUCGAGUGAGUGAAACGACCGGACGAGACCUCACCUGCGGCGUCCAGGUGAAUGUUGAACUGUGUGGAAGAAGAUGAUCAGACAGACACGGACUCAGUGAUGUGGACCUGCCUGGCCCUUCUCCUGGGCCCUUCACCUGGGCCCUUCACCUGGGCCCUUCACCUGGGUUCAUAUCAAGGAUGAAUCGCUCCUGAACGUUGAGGAAGAGAGGAUCUGGACAAAGGGGCGGAGCCAGGGAUGUUUUAUUUCUUUCUUUAACAUUUUUUAACAUGAUGUUUCAGAGAAUAAUUCAUGGAUUUUGAUGAAUGAGACCAAAC